rnacentral:rRNA from 1 species
AACGAACGCUGGCGGCAGGCUUAACACAUGCAAGUCGAACGCAUCCUUCGGGGUGAGUGGCAGACGGGUGAGUAACGCGUGGGAACGUGCCCUUCAGUUCGGGAUAACCCAGGGAAACUUGGGCUAAUACCGGAUACGUGCGAGAGCAGAAAGAUUUAUCGCUGAAGGAUCGGCCCGCGUCUGAUUAGCUAGUUGGUGGGGUAAUGGCCCACCAAGGCGACGAUCAGUAGCUGGUCUGAGAGGAUGAUCAGCCACAUUGGGACUGAGACACGGCCCAAACUCCUACGGGAGGCAGCAGUGGGGAAUAUUGGACAAUGGGCGCAAGCCUGAUCCAGCCAUGCCGCGUGAGUGAUGAAGGCCUUAGGGUUGUAGAGCUCUUUCGUCCGGGACGAUAAUGACGGUACCGGAAGAAGAAGCCCCGGCUAACUUCGUGCCAGCAGCAGCCGCGG